CCUACGGGCGGCUGCAGUGGGGAAUAUUGCACAAUGGGGGAAACCCUGAUGCAGCGACGCCGCGUGAGCGAUGAAGUAUUUCGGUAUGUAAAGCUCUAUCAGCAGGGAAGAAGAUGACGGUACCUGACUAAGAAGCCCCGGCUAACUACGUGCCAGCAGCCGCGGUAAUACGUAGGGGGCAAGCGUUAUCCGGAUUUACUGGGUGUAAAGGGAGCGUAGACGGCGAUGCAAGCCAGAUGUGAAAGCCCGGGGCUCAACCCCGGGACUGCAUUUGGAACUGUGUGGCUGGAGUGUCGGAGAGGCAGGCGGAAUUCCUAGUGUAGCGGUGAAAUGCGUAGAUAUUAGGAGGAACACCAGUGGCGAAGGCGGCCUGCUGGACGAUGACUGACGUUGAUGCUCGAAAGUGUGGGUAUCAAACAGGAUUAGAUACCCUUGUAGUC
rnacentral:rRNA from 1 species